UUGCUAGGAAUGCCUGAUUUCGCAGAUCUAGCUAGAAGCGGAGGAACCAGUUCAUUUGGGGCGAAUUUCAGAGAGAGUCUGAAAAAGACACCUUCCAGUCUUAGCCCGUCAGCUAACUCCGUCGGCAGUGGAAGGAGUGCCC
rnacentral:sRNA from 2 species